AUUGAACGCUGGCGGCAUGCCUUACACAUGCAAGUCGAACGGCAGCACGGGAGCAAUCCUGGUGGCGAGUGGCGAACGGGUGAGUAAUAUAUCGGAACGUGCCCAGUCGUGGGGAUAACGUAGCGAAAGCUACGCUAAUACCGCAUACGAUCUAUGGAUGAAAGCGGGGGAUCGCAAGACCUCGCGCGAUUGGAGCGGCCGAUAUCAGAUUAGGUAGUUGGUGAGGUAAAGGCUCACCAAGCCGACGAUCUGUAGCUGGUCUGAGAGGACGACCAGCCACACUGGGACUGAGACACGGCCCAGACUCCUACGGGAGGCAGCAGUGGGAAUAUUGGACAAUGGGCGAAAGCCUGAUCCAGCCAUGCCGCGUGUGUGAAGAAGGUCUUCGGAUUGUAAAGCACUUUAAGUUGGGAGGAAGGGUAGUAACCUAAUACGUUGCUACUUUGACGUUACCGACAGAAUAAGCACCGGCUAAC
rnacentral:rRNA from 1 species